rnacentral:lncRNA from 1 species
GUUCACUAGUAUUUGCACUCUUUAGAAUAUUGGUUGACGUCGACUGGAUCAAUAAAAUCGACCUUGUGGGGAGCAUACAAACGAGUCUUACAAGCAUGACAUGCAUCAUCAAAGCCGCGUGGCUCAGAAGUACAGCCAUACGUGCCAUGUGCCGGCCCCACUCUUGUGAUGCAAUCUGUACCACAUCUUACUCUAUUUCCUUGAUCAAGUCUGGCGAUGCAUGCUUUCAAAGUGUCCGCAGCUUUGCGCGACACAGACGCCAUGCCCAAGACCGUGUGACAGAGACUGAAGCUCACCAUGAUGAGGAAGUAGAACCUGAAAUCAACUCCUCAGAAGAGCCACCAGGAUAUCAGCUCGAUUCAGGCUUUCGUGUGGAUCUAGCCUACAGGU